rnacentral:rRNA from 1 species
GACGAACCGUGCGAACGUUGUUCGGAAUCACUGGGCUUAAAGGGCGCGUAGGCGGGCUGUCAAGUCUGGGGUGAAAUCCCACGGCUCAACCGUGGAACGGCUGGGUAUACUGGCGGUCUUGGGCCACUCAGGGGCGAGCGGAACAAGUGGUGGAGCGGUGAAAUGCGUAGAUAUCACUUGGAACGCCGACGGUGAAAACAGCUCGCUGGGAGUGUGCCGACGCUGAGACACGAAAGCCAGGGGAGCGAACGGG